GCCUGGAUGUACCUGAGGGUUCUGACCGAAGCUGCAUAAACAGUUUCAAUGCUUAAUUUUCAUAUUAUAUUCCUUAUCAAUUCUUCUGCCAAAGGAAACAGUAAGAUUCGACCAGUAAGACUAAACCAGUAGUAGGGUCACAAUAAUUAAAGCACUUUGUAGAUGUGAUGAAUAUGCAUUCAGAAACCAUCACGCUGGCGGUAAGAGAGAAAACAGCUUGAAGAUUCUGGCAAAACAGGUGUUUAGCUGAUGUCUCCGGAUACCUGGAGGAAGCAUGUUUUUGGCAGCUACUGGCAGGCGUGGUUCAGUCAGUUGGGCCACCUGAGGAUAGGCAGUAACUGGACCUUGCUAAACAGAGUCCUGUGAGGUCGGGAAGAGAGCUGGCUCAUAACUUCAUCGCAGCUCUGAGCAUGGUGCUCUCACCCAGACCGUCAAUUAGUAAAGAGUAGGACAAGAGAGCUAAGUCAACAUGCUCGGAGGAGUCCUGACUCUGCCAUUCACUAACCAGCCUGUGCAACCCAGGCAACUAACUUUAAGUCUCAAUUUAUCUCUAAGAAAAAUGAAAAUGUUAUUGUGACAAAAGUUAAUGAUGCUGCAGGCAGGACAUGGUGUGCAGAAAACAGCCACUUGUUAUAGUAAACAGAGUUUGGUGCUGAAAGUUCACUAGAAGCAGAGUACGGAGAAGAUGCAGUACAAGAUGGCCAUUUUAUCACAGCUCAGUUGUGGAGGUGACAGUUUCUGAGUGGCAAGCAGGACAGAUACAGCUUAUACUUGUACAAAAGUAGGUUUUGUACAAACGGACUUGUGGCACAGUCUCGUACCCCUCCAGACCCCCAUACACCCCUCAUGUCUCAGCUCGUCUUCAGUACCGCUACCUUCCUGUUGGACAUUGCCAGAACAUGGUCUAAGAAUGGAGCCCUGUGAGGAGAAUUCUGGGUGCUUGUGAGAACACUCCAAGAAAACAAGGUAACUUGUUACUGGCAUAUCUCUGAAAAUGAGUGAGGUGGUUAUCACUUUUAUAUUGCCAACACUAAAAGCAAGAAAACUAAGAUCUGAGUAAGUAUGCCUUUAAGACGUUUCCUUCAAUAUACUAUUUCUAAGUAAGAAGGGAGGUAAA